AUUGAACGCUGGCGGCAGGCCUAACACAUGCAAGUCGAGCGAGAGGCGGACGGGUGAGUAAUGUAUGGGGACUGCCCGAUAGAGGGGGAUAACUAAUGGAAACGGUGGCUAAUACAGCAUACUAUCGGAUAACCCAUAUGGGAUUAGCUCGUAGGUGGGGUAAAGGCUCACCGAGGCGACGCUCUAUAGCUGGUCUGAGAGGAUGAACAGCCACACUGGGACUGGGACACGGCCCAGACUCCUACGGAGGCAGCAGUGGGGAAUAUUGCACAAUGGGCGCAAGCCUGAUGCAGCCAUGCCGAGUGUAUGAAGAAGGCCUUAGGGUUUUAAAGUACUUUCAGCGGGGAGGCGUUACCCGCAGAAGAAGCACCGGCUAACUCCGUGCCAGCAGCCGCGGUAAUUC
rnacentral:rRNA from 1 species